rnacentral:ribozyme from 14 species
AAACAACAAACAACAACACACAAACACAUGUUUGUUUGUUGUGUUUGCUUGUUUUGUUGUUGUUGCUUGUUGUUGUGUUUGUGUGUUGUAGUU